rnacentral:sRNA from 1 species
GUCGUGAGAUGUUGGGUUAAGUCCCGCAACGAGCGCAACCCUUGUCCUAUGUUGCCAGCGCGUAAUGGCGGGGACUCGUAGGAGACUGCCGGGGUCAACUCGGAGGAAGGUGGGGACGACGUCAAGUCAUCAUGCCCCUUAUGUCCAGGGCUGCAAACAUGCUACAAUGGCCAGUACAAAGGGUCGCGAUCCCGCGAGGGGGAGCUAAUCCCAUAAAGCUGGUCUCAGUUCGGAUUGGAGUCUGCAACUCGACUCCAUGAAGUUGGAGUCGCUAGUAAUCCCGGAUCAGCUACGCCGGGGUGAAUACGUUCCCGGGCCUUGUACACACCGCCCGUCACACCACGAAAGUUGGUAACACCCGAAGCCGGUGGCCGAACCGUAAGGACGGAGCCGUCGAAGGUGGGACCAGCGAUUGGGGUGAAGUCGUAACAAGGUAGCCGUACCGGAAGGUGCGGCUGGAUCACCUCCUUUCUAAGGAGCUGACACCUCAGCUCGAGGCCAUUUCGUGCUUCGAGACCGAGGUCAGUUACCCAGUUGAUGCACUCGCUGGGCCUUCCUCAUCCAAUGCUCGACUUGUAGACCUUGUGUCUCGUCGAGUGGCGGGGAAGAAGUCCACGCUCAUUCCUCUGUUCCGUUUUGAAGGUGCGAUCGCACCGCCGGCCCCUCGGGUCCGGCGGUGUCGUCGUCCUUCGGGACUGAUCACGCCUCUGCGCUCGACGCACGCGUGUACGCGCCCCUUGAGAAUUCGAUAGCGAGCACGAGCAUCUUUUAGAGCUGAAGUUCCAAGCUAUAAAGAGCCAACGGUGGAUGCCUUGGCGCCUGAUGCCGAUGAAGGACGUGGGUGGCUGCGAAAAGCCACGGGGAGCUGCCGACCUAGCUUCGAUCCGUGGAUGU